rnacentral:rRNA from 1 species
CUCCGGUGAUCCCGCCGGACCCGACUGCUAUCAGAGUGAGAUUAAGCCAUGCGAGUUAACGUAGCAAUACGUGGCGCACGGCUCAGUAACACGUAGUCAACAUGCCCAGAGGACGUGGAUAACCUCGGGAAACUGAGUCUAAACCGCGAUAAGUGAGGAUUUCUGGAAUGGUUCCUGACUAAAAUCUAUAUGGCCUCUGGAUUGGACUGCGGCCGAUCAGGCUGUUGGUGAGGUAAUGGCCCACCAAACCUGUAACCGGUACGGGCUCUGAGAGGAGGAGCCCGGAGAUGGGCACUGAGACAAGGGCCCAGGCCCUAUGGGGCGCAGCAGGCGCGAAACCUCUGCAAUAGGCGAAAGCUUGACAGGGUUACUCUGAGUGAUUUCCGUUAAGGAGAUCUUUUGGCACCUCUAAAAAUGGUGCAGAAUAAGGGGUGGGCAAGUCUGGUGUCAGCCGCCGCGGUAAUACCAGCACCCCGAGUGGUCGGGACGAUUAUUGGGCCUAAAGCAUCCGUAGCCGGUUCUGCAAGUCCCCCGUUAAAUCCAGCUGCUCAACAGAUGGGCCGCGGAGGAUACUACAGAGCUAGGAGGCAGGAGAGGCAAGCGGUACUCAGUGGGUAGGGGUAAAAUCCGUUGAUCCAUUGAAGACCACCAGUGGCGAAGGCGGCUUGCCAGAACGCGCUCGACGGUGAGGGAUGAAAGCUGGGGGAGCAAACCGGAUUAGAUACCCGGGUAGUCCCAGCUGUAAACGAUGCAGACUCGGUGAUGAGUUGGCUUAUUGCUAACUCAGUGCCGCAGGGAAGCCGUUAAGUUUGCCGCCUGGGGAGUACGGUCGCAAGACUGAAACUUAAAGGAAUUGGCGGGGGAGCA